rnacentral:rRNA from 1 species
AGCGAACGCUGGCGGCAGGCCUAACACAUGCAAGUCGAACGAACUCUUCGGAGUUAGUGGCGGACGGGUGAGUAACACGUGGGAACGUGCCUUUUGGUUCGGAAUAACUCAGGGAAACUUGUGCUAAUACCGAAUGUGCCCUUCGGGGGAAAGAUUUAUCGCCAUUAGAGCGGCCCGCGUCUGAUUAGCUAGUUGGUGAGGUAACGGCUCACCAAGGCGACGAUCAGUAGCUGGUCUGAGAGGAUGACCAGCCACACUGGGACUGAGACACGGCCCAGACUCCUACGGGAGGCAGCAGUGGGGAAUCUUGCGCAAUGGGCGAAAGCCUGACGCAGCCAUGCCGCGUGGAUGAUGAAGGUCUUAGGAUUGUAAAAUUCUUUCACCGGGGACGAUAAUGACGGUACCCGGAGAAGAAGCCCCGGCUAACUUCGUG